UUUCUGGUUAUGCUCCCACCUGUCCACAGUUGCUGUUCACUUCAUCUUUUCAUUUUGACCUCUUGAAUUGGCCAGAGUACAUCUAGGUGGCCCGAUUUCAUUUAGCAGAGAUUCAAACUCCUAUGAAAUUACAUCCUAGAGGGUUUUUUUAUCCUAAAUUUUUAUUUAUUUGUCUGAUCUUGUUCCACGUAGAAUUUGAAGCAGGCAUGUGUGUUUGGACAGCAUUUUUUUCCCUCUUAAAUGGCAGGGAUCCAUUCCUGCUGGGCUGAGAACGCUUCCUCAUGGCAGGCUGUUUAAGCAGAUGAAAGAACACCAAUAAGGAAGGAGCACCAAAGGCACUUGAAAAACCUCAACCAUUUCCACUUCUGGAAUCACAGAAUGCCAGGAUGGCUCAAGUGCCACCUCCUCUAGGAAGCCUUCCCUCAAACCUCUACCCACUCACCCAGAAAGUUAUGAUACCCACUUCCUCUGAGUGCCAGCAGCCAAGAGCCAGAAGCACGACAAGUUCCUUUCCAGAAACUACAGAAGACAAUGUGAUGACAAACCAGAGGAACAGAGAGGAAGACAUUUGAAAAUGCUACACUGCUCCCUUUGAAGAUGGAAGCCAAGAGAUGCAGGUGGCCUCUGGAAGCUGAAAAAGGCAAGGAAACAGAUUCUUCCCUGGAGCCUCCAAAAGGAACCAGCCCUGUCAUCACUUUGACCUUAGCCCAGUGAAACUGACUUUGGACUUCUGGCCUCCAGAACUGAGAGAGAAUACACUUGUGUUGAUUUAAGCCACUACAUUUAUGGUGAUUUCUUACAGUAGCCACAGGAAACUAAUGCAACUACUGAGCCAGCCCGUCCCCUACCAACUGCUCAGAUGUAGCAUGGUUCCCGAGAACAGCUGACACCUGGUGGGCACAUCAUCAAGCAACGGGCAAUGGCAACCCAUCGCAGGGGGUGCCUGGGACUGGGAGCACACAGAAGGGCCCGUCUGGUCUGAAGGGUCAGGGAAGACUUCCUGAGUGCCAGCUUGCUUCAGCCUAGGCUGGGAGGAAAGGGAAAGGGAAAGGGUGGGUGCUGAACAGAAGAGGAGCGAGUGCAAAGGCCAGGAGACUUUCAGCUGGGUUUCAGUCACCUGCAACCAGGCGAGUCCUGCCUGACUGGUGUGUGCUCAGAAAACGCGCACAGACUGUGACUGAGUGAGCCCUCUGAGUGGGAAGGGCCUCGCUGCCCUGUAGGACCAUCCAGACUUGGAGGGAUUCUGCAUUUGGCCUGGGAAAGCACCCUCUCCAUUCUCCGCCCCCCUGCAGGGCCUGGCAUCCGAAUCUAGGUUCCUUCCAAAGGAGGAUGAGGCUUGGCUCAGGGCAGGUGUGCAGCUGGCUGAAUCCUAGUUUUCCUCUACCUGAAGCAAACCUCCCUCAACAGGGAAGGUCUCAGGUUCUGCUAGGAGCUGGGAAAUGGGAAAGGCGGUUGAGUGCUAAAGUCCUGGAAUGAACAGCCCACGGGCAGCUUUGGAUGGUCUUCUGGACACUGACGGUGAUGAUGAUGAUAAUGAAAAUGAUGGCAGCUACCACUUCCUGAUCACCUGCUAUGCUCCGCCCUCAUUACCCACGUGAUUUUGCAAGUGUGAGCAAGUCUGGGGUGCAGUAUGGGGCAGUGAGUUCCACCUUGGGCUGGGAAGGGAAGGCCUCGAGGGAGGAAGCCAAGGUCCUCAGCAGACCCUGACUCCCGUACCUGCUGAAUGAACAACACAGAUGCCCAGUGGAUAGUGGCCACUGCCUUCAUUCCUUUGCCAUCGCUGGACGAACUGUGCUCCUGGAAGUCAGGGCUGUGGGCUCUGAGAGCCUGAUGAGCUUAGAGACUCAGAACUGGCCUCUGGAGUUGGGUGUGGACAUUGGUGUAAAAUUACAGCUGAGAAGGACCCUGCCCUGGGGGAAAGAUGCAUCUGGGGAGAACAGAAAUUUAUUUUGCAAGUCCUGGUUCUUCGUCUUCGCCUCCGUUCCCUUUGGAAAGCAGGCUUCUAAACCUGGAACUUUCAGUCUUCCUCUUUGAUGUCCACUCACAUUGUCACAUAAUCAUGACAAUAAUAGGAGUAUCAGCUCUCUCAGGUGACAUGUACAUGCUAAGUGCUAUACAUCUAGCUUCCCAUUUGUCAGAAACUCCUAGGAGGUACAUUGUUAAUGUAGAUUACAGGUAAGGAAAUAAAGUCAGGGGCAACUGCAGGUCCCUGCUCUUAAUCAUGACUAUUGCCUUUCUUAGUCUUUACUUAGUAUCCAGUCUCUGUCACUCUGUGACCUUAGGCAUAUGACUACUCCUCUCAGCCUCAGUUUCCUUACCUGUAAAAUGGGGAUAAUAACAACACCUCCUGGAGUUGUUGUGAUGAUUAAAUGAGAAUAACACUACUUAAGAAGCAGAAGCUUCUGUUAUUAUUAUUACUAUUACAACUAUACUACCACUAUUAUUAUUACACCUCUUUUUUUUUUAAUUUAUUUGGUUGCAUUUGGUCUUAGUUGUGGCAGCCAGACUCCUUAGUUGUGGCUCACCGGCUCCUUAGCUGUGGUACGCGAACUCCUUGUUACGUACGGUGUGCACGUGGGAUCUAGCUCCCAGACCAGCGAUGGAAACUGGGAAGCUCCCUUUUACUUUUUAAAGGGUACUUAAUAACUCUUUGGUAUCAUUAGAACAUUUAAAGUUACAGUGUGGCUCUCAUCAUACUUAUGUUGGACAGUGCAGGCUCUGUUAGGUCUUAAAACCCUUGCAUCUUGCAAGGGGACAGAGAUGACAGUUGCCCUCCUUCAGCAAGUGAAAACAGCAAGUAAACUUCAGCAUAAAACAAGCAUUGGGACCACACAAGCUGUGAGGGUGAGGGGACUGGGGGAUGGGCACGCUUUUUCCAAGUUGGAGGGGAGAGAUGAGAGCACUCUUGACGGAGGGACUGCCUGAGCAAAGGCCUGGAGGUGGGAUUGGAGGAACUUCUGCACGCUUGCCUGGGUAGAAGAGCUCCCUCCAAUCCUACUCCCAUGGGCUGACCUGGCAAAUCGCACAACUUUGAGAAGCAGGCUCACAGUGCUCCAACCUUCCACCCGAUGUUCAUCUUCAGGUACAGGUAGAAUCUUCCUUGUGGAUGUCUGUGAAUUUGCUGUUGUCUUGUCAGGUCCAUCCUGACAUGUAGGGGUUACUGCUCGACUUAUGUUUUCUUUGUCAGUUCCUUCUGACUGGGAUCUCGCGGGGCUGGAACAGAUUGGUGUCAACAUCUGUGGGUAACAGACAUGGAGAGGAGCCUUGGCUUCUUACAGAGACAGACUGGAGUCUGGGAAAAUGCAGCUAAUUCUAGAUUUUUCAGCGUCUGGUUGAGAAGUCUCUGUUAAUUUUGCCAGUUUUCAGUUACAUUUAUUGAGCGCUGAUGGUAUUCCAGGCACUCUGCUAAGAGUUUUGCUUGCAUUAUUUAAUAACCCCAGGAGUUGAUGUGUUGGCUCCAUUUCCCGGAUGAGAAAACACUCUUGCUGAGGUUAUUUGUUCGAGGUCAUCGAGCCAGGAUAGCCAGAAUUCACACCGAAAGCCUGAGCCUUUCGCUUCUCUACACUCUUCCAUUCUGGAUGGUUCUACCAAGAAGAGAUCAAAGAAGCCUAGGAAAAAAAUUUAGAAAACAGAUUGGGUGUUUGAAGUGAAGACCUUGUCAGCAAAACUGUGGAAUGCAUUGGCUAAAACGCUCCCUGCAGAAAUGCCUGCCCUGAGUUGUUCAGCCCUCAUCUUUUAUCACAUAUUGAUAAAGAGCCAUUUGAAGACC